rnacentral:rRNA from 1 species
UACGUAGGGUGCGAGCGUUAAUCGGAAUUACUGGGCGUAAAGCGCGUGUAGGCGGGUUGGUAAGCCAGAUGUGAAAUCCCUAUGCUCAACGUAGGAACUGCAUUUGGAACUGCCAGUCUUGAGUAGUGGAGAGGAAAGUGGAAUUCCUGGUGUAGAGGUGAAAUUCGUAGAUAUCAGGAGGAACAUCGGUGGCGAAGGCGGCUUUCUGGACAGUAACUGACGCUGAGACGCGAAAGCGUGGGGAGCAAACAGG